rnacentral:rRNA from 1 species
CACGUAGGGUGCAAGCGUUGUCCGGAAUCAUUGGGCGUAAAGAGCUCGUAGGCGGCUUAGUAAGUCGGGUGUGAAAACCCCAGGCUCAACCUGGGGACGCCACCCGAUACUGCUAUAGCUAGAGUCCAGUAGGGGAGUGUGGAAUUCCCAGUGUAGAGGUGAAAUUCGUAGAUAUUGGGAAGAACACCGAUGGCGAAGGCAGCCAUCUGGACGGAUACUGACGCUGAGACGCGAAAAGCGUGGGGGAGCAAACAGG